rnacentral:rRNA from 1 species
UACGUAGGGGGCAAGCGUUGUCCGGAAUUAUUGGGCGUAAAGAGCGUGUAGGCGGCCAGACAGGUCCGUUGUGAAAACUCGAGGCUCAACCUCGAGACGUCGGUGGAAACCGUUUGGCUAGAGUCCGGAAGAGGAGAGUGGAAUUCCCGGUGUAGCGGUGAAAUGCGCAGAUAUCGGGAAGAACACCCGUGGCGAAGGCGGCUCUCUGGGACGGUACUGACGCUGAGACGGCGAAAGCGGUGGGAGCGA